CAGGAAGGAUGGGCCCUCCUGCGCUGGAUUUGGACGUCGCGUUUUCUUUUGGAUGAACUUUAGGAACAAAAUAAGUCAUAUUUGCAGAUAAUGUGUUUAUGAAAUAUUGACAAUAAUUGUUGCAGCAUUUGAUAGCCUUGGUUGAGUUUUGAUUUGAAGGACACAGUCGACCAUGGAGUUUGCUGAGCAUAGAGAAAGGAUGGACAGAUAAAUUGGUGAGCAAUUUUUUCACUUGCAAGACAGAAUUUCCAUCGUACAAAAAAUGCAGAAUGAAGAAAAACUCACUGUUGAGCCCUUCAGUACAUAUCGUGAGUUCCAUGGAGUUAACUUUAAUUCGGACUGACUGCAAACGUUAUAGAAGUGAACUAUUAGACAAUAAUUAUUCAACUUCAAUGUUGAGCACGCGAGUGUGGCUAAAGAGUGCUCCAGUGAUUGAACGCGGACUGACUGCAGUGUAAAAGAUGCACGACCGAAGCCAGGAGCUCCUCUAACAACAUCUUUAUGAAAGUUUUGUAAACAUUCAUGCACAAAACCUCAAUGCCUACUUUUGAAACUUAACCUUAUUAAACCCCUUCAGGAUGAACUGAAUUGUAGCAUUGAGGAUAGGGGUUGUUUUUCAACUGUACUUUUCGUCAAGAAGCUAUAACCGGGCCUUGCUGACCGAUGUGGACCGAGUCGGAGAACGAUGAGAGGCGCACCCGGACCACGGAGCUGCCGUGUUCAAGUCAAGAUUCAAGGCAAAACAUUUCCUGUGCUAACUAUUGAUAGACUUGUCUGGUGAAAGUUAUCUAUGGAUUGUGUGGUAUGGGGAUGUAGCAUUGGAUAUCGUCCAAUGAAAGACAAAGACAAGAGUGUGCAGACGGUAAGCGAAGAUCUAACCCAUUUCUUGCAGGUUCCCACCCUUGUUUUACAGCCCCUGUCCCCACCAGAUAUUCUGCUAUGAACUUGUUGAUGUUGUCCCACAUUUUGUUGAGCUUUCCAUGUGACUUCACUCUACUGUCUUGGUAUUUCUUGUAGUGCAUGUUGGUCGAAGCCAAUGAUGCUUUUAAUUAGAAGACAAAUCUUUCUGGACAUUUCUUGGAGUUGAAACUUCAAAGUCGUCAGUUGUCAUGUUUAAUUACAAUUGUCAUCAUUAAUUUUUUGUAAAUCAAACUAAAUAUCUUAAUGUUUAGGGCUUACAGUUUGGGGGUAAAAUCCAAAUAAGUUAGUCAGAUAGAUUGGGUGAAUUAUCCCCAAAAAUCUCUCUUUUUUUAAAUAUUAUUUUAUAUUUUAUUACUUUUCUCGCGUAUUAUAGGAGUGACACAACCUGAAAUUAGAUUAUUCCUGUCCAAUCUGCAUUCAUUUUGAUGAUCCAUGUUUGAUUUAGGAGUAUUAUCAUACAUACUAAAUUAAUAUACAUAAUAUUCCUAUUGACAUCAUUCAUCAAUUCUGAAUGUAUAGCUUUUUUUUCUAUGAGUAUAUGACCCAAAUUCCUUAAACAGUCACUGUAGUAAGAAAAAUACAACAUACACAAACUUAGCAAAGUUGUCAAGAAGUAAUGAAAUAUAAACGAGUUGUUACAAAAGCAGUUAACUUCCACAAAACAAAUCUGUUCAUAGCCCUCGGUAUUUAUGUACCCAAUCUAGUGCAAUGAUUUAGUUUUUGAGCGCUGCGUCACAUGAACAAAUGAGAAAAAGAUAAAACAACAGGAAAAGAAAAAGAUGAAACAACAACAGCGGGAUAUUUCCUUCUCCAUGAUGAAACAGAGAGAGAGAGCAACCACUGAGAACACUGAUGUCAUUGAUUCCUGAAGGUAUGUAUUAGUGGUAAGUGUAGGCCUAGAGUUAAUAAUAGUGUUGGCCUAGAGAUAAGAUUAACUCCCUUUUCUAGCAGGUUUACUGAAUAUUGGUAGCUCUAUAGUAGACGAUGACGAUUCUCUCUUCGAUGUCUCGCUGAUGAUCAGGUGUCUGUGAGGUCAAGUGUUUCAAGCAAAGGUCAAGUUAUUCACGACAGGUAAAGUAUUGGUAAGUGAGAAAGAAACUAACACUUUUUCUCCACAGCUGAAUUCUAACCACUUUUGCAGCUCUUACUUCCACAGGUUUCUAACCUCUUCCUUUUCAGCCAAUAACCAUUUUCUUGUUUUUCACAGUAUAACCGAUUCUUCCUAAUGCCGAUGCUGUGACAGGUGACUGCACAUUGGUGGCUAACUCAUUGGAACCAUACAUAACAGGUUUGGUAAGGUCUCAGGGUAAACUCAUGGUGUAAAUCACGCUAUGGCAUGAUGUGACCCCUCAAAUGCUAACCUUUCUAGAUAGUUUUCUUCCCAAGUAUGCAGGUGAUGUUUUCCCAUCUUGAAGCUACUGAACUUGCUUGUGCGGCUGAAGAGAUGUCUACCCACAGGGACUGUGGUCUUACACAAGUGUAUCCAGUGUUGUGUGAGCGCCUUGACUGAAGGCUACAUUCUACUGUGCAGUGGUGGCAACAACUGGAGCUGUUUGGAGCUGCAUCAAUAGACCUGGAGGAUGCUGCUGUAAAAAGUCAACAACAGUCAGCUUGGUUAAAGUGAAAACCAUCCAGGGUUCUGUGAGUGCCUUGACUGGAGGCUACAUUCUUAAUGUGUGCCGCAGUGGUGACUACAACCAGCGCUGCAUUGGUGGAGUGGAGAAUACAGGUGCGGAAAGUCAUCAGUAGUCAGAAUAGU